CGGGGCGUAGCGCAGCCUGGUAGCGCGCCUGCUUUGGGAGCAGGAUGUCGGAGGUUCAAAUCCUCUCGCCCCGA
rfam:Nitrospira sp. OLB3 TZ03_NOB00100CONTIG000040, whole genome shotgun sequence.